CGUGGUGUGGAUCGUUUUCGUUUGGUUAAAGGAUUGCAGGCUUUCUUUUUUAAACAGUCUACAAACUAUUCUGAGUACACGAUGCGAACUUAGCACCCGUGUCAGGUCAUUUACUUCUUAAGAUAACCCUGGUUAUUGUAUUCUUUGUCGUUUUAGAGGAGGAAACCGAGACAGAGAGGUUAAAUAACUUAGAUAAGUGAGCUGGGAUUGGACCCAGGGACGUCGUUUUCAAGAGUAUGGGGCCUCCUUACAGAGCAAAUUGUGCAAAGACUUAGAAGCGUUUUCUAGUUAUGCAUGAGUUGUUGCUUGAGUUGUAAACAACUUGUGUUGGCUCGUGAGGGGAAUUAAACUUCGAGAUAAAAUAAAAGCAGAUUUAUGAAAAUAUGCAUCGCUUUGAUACUGUCUUGGAAUUCAUGAGAUGGAAGCAUAGGUCAAAGCUGUUUGGAGAAAAUUGGAACUACAGUUUUAUCUAGCCACAUCUCUGAGGAGUCUGAAGAAAGCAGCAGGUGAAAAGUCCUUGUCAAGUGAUUUCGUUCUUCUAUAAGGAAAUCUCAUUCAGUAAAGCCAUUGAAAUUAGUUAAAUAGCUC